rnacentral:rRNA from 1 species
AAGAGACAGCAGUCGCCGCGGUAAUACGGAGGGUGCAAGCGUUAAUCGGAAUUACUGGGCGUAAAGCGCACGCAGGCGGUCUGACAAGUCAGAUGUGAAAUCCCCGGGCUUAACCUGGGAACUGCAUUUGAAACUGUCAGGCUGGAGUCUUGUAGAGGGGGGUGGAAUUCCAGGUGUAGCGGUGAAAUGCGUAGAGAUCUGGAGGAAUACCGGUGGCGAAGGCGGCCCCCUGGACAAAGACUGACGCUCAGGUGCGAAAGCGUGGGGAGCAAACAGGAUUAGAUACCCCUGUAGUCCCUGUCUCUAUACA